rnacentral:rRNA from 1 species
UACGUAGGUGACCAGCGUUGUCCCGGAUUUACUGGGCGUAAAGAGCCGCGCAGGCGGUCAGAUAAGUCGAAUGUGAAAGCCCCGGCUCAACUGGGGAGGGUCAUUCGAUACUGUUCGACUCGAAGGCAGGAGAGGGAAGCGGAAUUCCCGGUGUAGUGGUGAAAUGCGUAGAUAUCGGGAGGAACACCAGUGGCGAAGGCGGCUUCCUGGCCUGUUCUUGACGCUGAGGCGCGAAAGCUA